CAACCAGUUCGUUGAUCUCUUACGAACAGAAAUACAUAAGAGGAGGAGGAGAGAUCGGGAUCAGGGUUAAAGUCUCUAGCUUUUGUAUCCGUGUCGAUGGGGAGGGAGAUGGACGCAGAGGAAGAAGGUACUAUGAGCUCUCACCAGAGCAAGCCGGGCGUCCUCAUCGUUGGCUGCCCUAACAUCGGCAAGAGAACACUCCUCUCUAGGUUGCUUUCAAUAGAUAUUCCAGAGAUACCUAAUUUAUCUUCUGGAAUACUUUGCCAGGGGUGGAAUCUUGAGACUAUUUAUU